CCCUUAGACGUUCUGGGCCGCACGCGCGCUACACUGACGAAGGCAACGAGCUUUCCUUUACCGAAAGGUACGGGUAAUCUUUUGAAACUUCGUCGUGCUGGGGAUAGAUCCUUGCAAUUUUUGAUCUUAAACGAGGAAUGCCUAGUAAGCGCAAGUCAUCAACUUGCGUUGAUUACGUCCCUGCCCUUUGUACACACCGCCCGUCGCUACUACCGAUUGAAUGGUUUAGUGAGGCCUUCGGAUCCGCGACUCGUUUGUGGAGAAGUUGGACAAACUCAGUCAUUUAGAGGAAGUAAAGGUCGUAACA
rnacentral:rRNA from 1 species